CCUACGGGAGGCAGCAGUGAGGAAUAUUGGUCAAUGGCCGUAAGGCUGAACCAGCCAAGUAGCGUGAGGGAAGACUGCCCUAUGGGUUGUAAACCUCUUUUAUGCGGGGAUAAAGGUGUCCACGUGUGGAUGUUUGCAGGUACCGCAUGAAUAAGGACCGGCUAAUUCCGUGCCAGCAGCCGCGGUAAUACGGAAGGUCCGGGCGUUAUCCGGAUUUAUUGGGUUUCAAGGGAGCGUAGGCCGGUCUUUAAGAGUGCCGUGAAAUGAUGUGGCUCAACCAUCAGAGGGCGGCGCGGACUGGGGACCUUGAGUGGGAGGAAGGGAGGCGGAAUUCGUGGUGUAGCGGUGAAAUGCUUAGAUAUCGCGAAGAACCCCGAUUGCGAAGGCAGCCUGCCGCCGCGUUACUGACGCUGAAGCACGAAAGCGCGGGUAUCGAACAGGAUUAGAUACCCGAGUAGUC
rnacentral:rRNA from 1 species